rnacentral:misc_RNA from 1 species
GUGAAUCAUCAAAUUUUUGAACGCAAAUUGCGCUUCCUGGUAUCCCGGGAAGUAUGCCUGUUUGAGGGUCAGUAUUAACAAAAAAUCGGUUUGGUUGCAAAUUGUGACGUUUCCGGAGUUUGGGCUUAUCUUAACUUUUUUGUUUAAGGGGCUUAAAAUUAACUUUUUUUGGCAAUUUUUAGACGACCUUAAUUUUUUUUUUUUUCUUCUUUUCUUAAUGCCAAAAUUU